rnacentral:rRNA from 1 species
UGGGGAAUAUUGCGCAAUGGGCGAAAGCCUGACGCAGCGACGCCGCGUGAGGGAUGAAGGUUUUCGGAUCGUAAACCUCUGUCAGAAGGGAAGAAACCGCACUGUGCUAAUCAGCAGUGCCUUGACGGUACCUUCAAAGGAAGCACCGGCUAACUCCGUGCCAGCAGCCGCGGUAAUACGGAGGGUGCAAGCGUUAAUCGGAAUUACUGGGCGUAAAGCGCACGUAGGCUGCUUUGUAAGUCAGGGGUGAAAUCCCACGGCUCAACCGUGGAACUGCCUUUGAUACUGAUUAGCUUGAAUCCGGGAGAGGGUGGCGGAAUUCCAGGUGUAGGAGUGAAAUCCGUAGAUAUCUGGAGGAACAUCAGUGGCGAAGGCGGCCACCUGGACCGGUAAUGACGCUGAGGUGCGAAAGCGUGGGGAGCAAACAGG